rnacentral:rRNA from 1 species
GCACAAGCAGCGGAGCGUGUGGUUUAAUUCGAUGUUACACGAAGAACCUUACCAGGGUUUGACAUGCAAGUGGUAGGAAGCCGAAAGGUGACCGACCCUUCGGGGAGCUUGCACAGGUGCUGCAUGGCUGUCGUCAGCUCGUGUCGUGAGAUGUUCGGUUAAGUCCGCUAACGAGCGCAACCCUCGUCGUGUGUUAUACGUGUCACGCGAUACUGCCGGUAUCAAGCCGGAGGAAGGUGGGGAUGAUGUCAAGUCAGCAUGGCCUUUAUAUCCUGGGCUACACACACGCUACAAUGGCAGAUACAAUAGGUUGCGAAACCGCGAGGUGGAGCCAAUCCUCAAAGUCUGUCUCAGUUCAGAUUGUAGGCUGCAACUCGCCUGCAUGAAGUUGGAGUUGCUAGUAAACGCAGGUCAGCUAUACUGCGUUGAAUACGUUCCCGGGCCUU